GCCACGGCAGAGACAACGCGUGUACCCCAAGUGCACAUGGCUGACCACCCCUAAAAGCACCUGGCCCCGCUACAGCAAACCAGGUCUGUCCAUGCGGCUGCUGGAAUCAAAAAAAGGCCUCUCCUUCUUUGCGUUUGAGCACAGUGAGGAGUACCAGCAGGCUCAGCACAAGUUCCUGGUGGCCGUGGAGUCUAUGGAGCCGAACAACAUCGUGGUGCGUGGUCCCUGCAGCCCCUGACAGGAGCAGGGGCCGUGUAGCCACC
rnacentral:sRNA from 1 species